CGAAUACUGGUGUCCAAUGUCUGAGGAGCAGCAUAUGCGGCCUUAGAGAGACGAUGCGUCGUGCUCUGCGAUCAGUGAGUUUGCAGGGCAGGAAGAUGCCGGUGCGACUGUGGCUGCUUCUCACCUUCCUGACCCUCCCGCACUACGGGCGCUCUCAGACUCUCCACCAGACCCCCCGAUUCAUUUCUCUGUCUCCCGGCUCCUCCGUCCAGCUGCACUGCUACCUGCAGGGAUACAGUUCAACCUCCUGGAUGUACUGGUACCGGCAGCCUCCCCAGGGAGGAGCCCUGCACCUGCUCUUUCUCUCCAGAGGCAAGGAUAUGAUUGACGACAGUUCGGAGAAACACUUUAAAGCUGCCCGACCGACCCAGCAGAACUUCACGCUGAGCACAGAUAGCCUCUUCCCCAACCACACGGGGCUCUAUUACUGCGCCUGGAGCCGCACACUGAGCCAAGCGGGUGCAGCCCCUGGACAAAAACUCUCCCUCCCCCAUUCCCUGUGA